rnacentral:rRNA from 1 species
UACGAAGGGGGCUAGCGUUGUUCGGAAUUACUGGGCGUAAAGCGCACGUAGGCGGAUCGAUCAGUCAGGGGUGAAAUCCCAGAGCUCAACUCUGGAACUGCCUUUGAUACUGGGUAUCUUGAGUAUGGAAGAGGUAAGUGGAAUUGCGAGUGUAGAGGUGAAAUUCGUAGAUAUUCGCAGGAACACCAGUGGCGAAGGCGGCUUACUGGUCCAUUACUGACGCUGAGGUGCGAAAGCGUGGGGAGCAAACAGG